rnacentral:rRNA from 1 species
UACGGAGGGUGCAAGCGUUAUCCGGAUUUACUGGGUUUAAAGGGUGCGCAGGCGGAUAUGUAAGUCAGUGGUGAAAUCUCCGGGCUUAACCCGGAACUGCCGUUGAUACUAUAUAUCUUGAAUGCUGUGGAGGUAAGCAGAAUAUGUCAUGUAGCGGUGAAAAUGCUUAGAGAUGACAUAGAAUACCUAUUGCGAAGGCAGCUUACUACGCAGAUAUUGACGCUCAUGCACGAAAGCGUGGGGAUCAAACAGG